rnacentral:misc_RNA from 1 species
GGAAGUAUAAGUCGUAACAAGGUCUUCGUAGGUGAACCUGCGGAGGGAUCAUUCCCACUUUAGGGGUGAGCGCUUCUUCGGAGGCCUCGCUCUCUUCCAAACACACGUGAACUGUUUAAACCGGGUGGUUGCGCUCUUUACAUGUUACAUGUAAAGAGCGCAACAACCUUCCAAAACCUUUGUCUCAACAACUCAAACAAAAAAUAACCAAAGCAAACAACUCCAAACGGUGGAUGCCUUGGUUCCC